AACGUACGCUGGCGGCACGCCUAACACAUGCAAGUCGAACGAAGUAGCAAUACUUAGUGGCAGACGGGUGAGUAACAUGUAGGUAUCUGCCCUAUGGCCUGGAAUAACACGAGGAAACUUGUGCUAAUACCGGAUAAGUCUUUACGGAGAAAGCUUUAUGCACCAUUGGAUGAGCCUGCACUUGAUUAGUUUGUUGGUGGGGUAAUGGCCUACCAAGACUGUGAUCAAUAGCUGAUUUGAGAGGAUGAUCAGCCACAUUGGGACUGAGACACGGCCCAAACUCCUACGGGAGGCAGCAGUGGGGAAUCUUGCACAAUGGAGGAAACUCUGAUGCAGCGAUGCCGCGUGAGUGAAGAAGGCCCUUGGGUUGUAAAGCACUUUAGUCAGGGAAGAAAAAGCUCAAGCUAAUAUCUUGAGUGUUGACGGUACCUGAAGAAUAAGCACCGGCUAACUCUGUG
rnacentral:rRNA from 1 species